GCCGGUUCACAGCAGAGCCAAUCAUUACUUGAAAACAGCAACCAUUUGCCAGGGCUUUGUGUGCCGGCUUGUUGAAUUGGGACCAGAAUACUUUCUUAGAGAAAAUGGGGCUCCCUGGCCAUGAUUCACUCGGAUGGAGUCAGUGAGCAAGCGUUUGCACCACGGUCCUCCAUCAAAAGUCAAGCUCUGGAAGAGGAAAUGAAGACUAACUUUCCCAUAUUUGGAGAGCUAUUUGCUGAGAAUUCCCAGCCCAUUAUCAUGGAACAAUAUUUCUCCCUCUUUCCUCAAGGAUUCCGUACACUUCAAAGAAGACUUGUAGGCAGCUGGCAGGAGGACUAAGUUCCGGAUGGGAAUGUUAUUUGCAUUCACUCUGCUCACCUCCAGAAAUGCUCACAUUUUAAAAAUUCAGCUUCAUGCUCCCUUUGAGGUGUGUAGUGUAUACUUCAGAGAGUACACCUCAUAAAUGGGGCCCCCAGCAUUGUGGGCUUCUUCAAUUUUAUCCUUACAACAGCAAAAAUCACAAGCAAACUUUAUGCUUAUGAAUAGCUGGGGCAUUAGCAUUUCUAGAACAGAAUUUGUAUCUUUUUCUAAGAACAACCUUUUUCUUGCUUUUGAUAAUUUUGUAAGAUUUGACUACUGUCAUUUUAAGGAAGUGUCCAUGUUAAUUGACUUCAGUGAAAUAUAGUUUCUCCUUCCUAUAUGAGUUCUACUGGGUCAGAGAAAACGAAAGGUCAAGUUUUAAAAUAUCAUUUGUGUUGUUUUUGAUAAUAAUUUUCUCUUCAUUUAUUUUUUACUUGUUUCAAACAUGACAGGGUUAGUAAUGACAAAGCACUAAUUAAAAAGAAAUUAAACCAUGUUUUAAAAUAAUCUUUAUUAUUAAAAUUAUAUGAAAAUAUUCUGUAAGUUACAAAAGCAAUGACACUCUUGUUUUCUAACAUCAAAUAAGUUAU